AGUCCUCGCCGCAAGCCGAUAAGCUGAGUGCCAGUGCCAUCCAUCCUGAUUUGCAGAUGAGAAAAAUGAGGCCCAGAGAGGGAAGGCGGAACUAGCAUCCGGCGGCCCUGAGAGUGCGUGUUACAUCCCGGCUCAGAUGCUGCUCUUGUCAUCAAAUGGAGCCUCCCAACCUCCUCGGGAGUCAGAUUCCUCACUGCCUCAUCCUACUGCCAAGCAAACUGGGCACAAGACAGCAAGUGAGGCAGUGGGCCAGGGCCCACCCUGUCUGUCCGCUCCCUGUGCUGGGGACCACAGAAAACGGUCUCCAUUGAAUUAGAAAAACGAGGCUCGGAGAAGGACCAAGCUUGCCCAAAGCCACACAGCUAUCAAACGCAGGCUCCUUUAGAUCUCCCAAAGUGGCCUCAGACCUGUGAUCCUCCUGGCUCAGCCUAGUGAGUAGCUGGAAUUGCAGAUGUGCUCCACAGCACCUGGCCGGAUUUUCAGCGAGGCCAGGUGGAUACUUGCGCAGC